GGGAGACCUAAUUCGGGUAUAAGACGAAAAAAAAGUAGUCCCUACCAAGAAUCAAUCCCAAAAGGUCGGAACGAGGUAUGAGGCUUUCAAACUAGGUUCUGGGUUCAUAAAAGACCUGAAUCAGGAACAAGGGCUAUUAGCUCAGGUGGUUAGAGCGCACCCCUGAUAAGGGUGAGGUCCCUGGUUCGAGUCCAGGAUGGCCCACCUGCACAGGUGGCAAAAACAAGAGAAGCGAGGAAUCAGCACCUUAUCUUGUAUACAUAUAUAAGAGAGAAUGCUGGCUCUGAGUACAGAG
rnacentral:tRNA from 1 species